UACAGAGGGUGCAAGCGUUAAUCGGAAUUACUGGGCGUAAAGGGCGCGUAGGCGGUCAGCACAAGUCAGUUGUGAAAUCUCCCGGGGCUUAACUCGGAAAGGUCAACUGAUACUGUGCGACUAGAGUGCGGAAGGGGCAACUGGAAUUCUCGGUGUAGCGGUGAAAUGCGUAGAUAUCGAGAGGAACACCUGCGGCGAAGGCGGGUUGCUGGGCCGACACUGACGCUGAUGCGCGAAAGCCAGGGGAGCGAAGCGGG
rnacentral:rRNA from 1 species